rnacentral:rRNA from 1 species
AUUGAACGCUGGCGGCAUGCUUUACACAUGCAAGUCGAACGGCAGCGCGGGCUUCGGCCUGGCGGCGAGUGGCGAACGGGUGAGUAAUACAUCGGAACGUGCCCAGUAGUGGGGGAUAGCUCGGCGAAAGCCGGAUUAAUACCGCAUACGACCUGAGGGUGAAAGCGGGGGAUCUUCGGACCUCGCGCUAUUGGAGCGGCCGAUGGCAGAUUAGCUAGUUGGUGGGGUAAAGGCCUACCAAGGCGACGAUCUGUAGCUGGUCUGAGAGGACGACCAGCCACACUGGGACUGAGACACGGCCCAGACUCCUACGGGAGGCAGCAGUGGGGAAUUUUGGACAAUGGGCGAAAGCCUGAUCCAGCAAUGCCGCGUGUGUGAUGAAGGCCUUCGGGUUGUAAAGCACUUUUGGCGGGAACGAAAAGGACUGUGCCAACACCACGGUUCGAUGACGGUACCCGCAGAAUAAGCACCGGCUAACUACGUG